CAUUUGUUACUGAUUGGAAGUGUCGAAUAUCCCGUCGAUUUAGUUGAAAGCUGGUGUGAACAUCAAGUUUUUUUUUUUUUAAAAGGAAAGUAAAUAGUGUGAGUGAGUGACAGAUAAUAUAUAUAUACUUGUUUGAGAGCAAGUAUAGCAAGAGCUGAGAGCGGACAAACCACAACCUCCAUGAUUCAAUUUUCGCCGCUGAACUAUUUGGCGGCAAUUUGUGAGAGUGGUUGUUUGGGAAUAACUGAAAAAAAAAUGCCGGGAAUUCGCC
rnacentral:lncRNA from 1 species